UCCUACGGGAGGCAGCAGUAGGGAAUCUUCCGCAAUGGACGAAAGUCUGACGGAGCAACGCCGCGUGAGCGAAGAAGGCCUUCGGGUCGUAAAGCUCUGUUGUAAGGGAAGAAUAAGUGCCAUUUAACUGAUGGCACCUUGACGGUACCUUACGAGAAAGCCACGGCUGACUACGUGCCAGCAGCCGCGGCAAUACGUAGGUGGCAAGCGUUGUCCGGAUUUAUUGGGCGUAAAGCGCGCGCAGGCGGUCCUUUAAGUCUGAUGUGAAAGCCCACGGCUCAACCGUGGAGGGUCAUUGGAAACUGGGGGACUUGAGUGCAUAAGAGGAAAGUGGAAUUCCACGUGUAGCGGUGAAAUGCGUAGAGAUGUGGAGGAACACCAGUGGCGAAGUCGAUUUUCUGGUCUGUAACUGACGCUGAGGCGCGAAAGCGUGGGGAGCAAACAGGAUUAGAUGCCCUGGUAGUCCACGCCGUAAACGAUGAGUGCUAAGUGUUAGGGGGUUUCCGCCCCUUAGUGCUGCAGCUAACGCAUUAAGCACUCCGCCUGGGGAGUACGGCCGCAAGGCUGAAACUCAAAGGAAUUGACGGA
rnacentral:rRNA from 1 species